rnacentral:rRNA from 1 species
CAAUCACUUGUCUUUUAAAUGGAGACCGGUAUGAAUGGCAAGACGAGGGCCUGACUGUCUCCUUUUUCCAGUCAAUGAAAUUGAUCUCCCCGUGCAGAAGCGGGGAUUAACACAUAAGACGAGAAGACCCUGUGGAGCUUUAGACACCAAGGCAGCCUGCGUUACACAACCCCUCAUUAAGGGCCUAAACAAAGCAGACCCUGCCUCCAUGUCUUUGGUUGGGGCGACCACGGGGAAACAAAAAACCCCCGCGUGGACAGGGAGAAUUCUAACUCCUACAGACAAGAGCGCCCGCUCUAAUUAACAGAAACUCUGACCUUCCAGAUCCGGCCAAGCCGAUCAACGAACCGAGUUACCCCAGGGAUAACAGCGCAAUCCUCUUUCAGAGCUCA